AACUCAAACUUUAACAUACAAAAAUAAUAGUAAUAAUAAAAGAAAGAAAUAUGAUUUUCCUGCUGAAAUCUUCUUUAUUUGGCUUUAAACCAAAGUGAUAAAACUACAAAACAAUAAAGACUAGCAGAAUUAUAUAAAAACAAGAAUGUGUCCAUAGUACACGGAUGCCCCACUCGCACUAUCAUUUUCUAUGUUCAGUGGACCGUGAAAUUGGGGUCAAAAUUAUAAUUUGGAAUUAUAAUUAGAAAGAUCAUAUUAUAGGGAACAUGUGUACUAAGUUUCAAGUUGAUGUAACUUUAACUUCAUCAAAAACUACCUUGACCAAAAACUUAAACCUGAACUUCGCACUAUCAUUUUCUAUGUUCAGUGGACCAUGAAAUUGGGGUCAAAACUAUAAUUUGGCAUUAAAAUUAGAAAGAUCAUAUCAUGGGGAACAUGUGUACUAAGUUUCAAGUUGAUUGGACUUCAACUUCUUCAAAAACUACCUUGACCAAAAACUUUAACCUGAAGCGAACGGACGGACGGACGCACAGACGAACGGAGGCACAGACCAGAAAACAUAAUGCCCCUCUACUAUCGUAGGUGGGGCAUAAAAACAUGUGCACACUGCAGUUAAAUAGUAACAACAUAUAUCACUAACAUUACAGUUUACUCUCAACUGCCAUCACACAAAAAUAAAGAGGUUGGUUCAUGCCAAUAUUACAAAAUU
rnacentral:lncRNA from 1 species